CUACAUUUCCCAGAAUGCACCUGCACCCACUCAUCUGCCCUCACCCUUCAGGUGCAACCGCUUCACCUAUGGGCUUGACGGGAAAAUUCAAAAUCGCGAACCGUUACAGCCUGGAGUACUCGGUGUCUUUCUUUGUUUGCUCAUCAACAGUAAGAGGUCAUGUACACUGUGGUCAACUUUGUGGACGCUGAAGAGGUUUCUAGGGAAAGAUGAUAGAAAUAUAAUGAAGUAACAGUGGAAGCUAAAACAUCAGACUGAUCCAGACACUGAAGAAAUUGAGGUCACUGCAAUCUGGCCAAAAUGAUACAACUAUAAUGAAGUAGCCUACUGUAAUGAAGCUGCAGAACAACACAGAGACUCUGAGGACAUCAACACAGAAAAUCAAGCUCCAAAGAGAUGUCUGUCCAGAUGAGGGUGCAUCAACGUUACCUUUGCUGACAAGUAUAUGCUUUACAAUGUAAAACCUAACAGUUAACUUAACUCAAACCAUUUAAGGAAAUCGGUUGCCUUAAACCAUUAAGUUUAAAAAAAAAACAUACAUUUGAGUACUAUGAACUUAAGUCUUGUGCAAUUAUGCACUUAUAUUUAGGUAGUGUGAAC